rnacentral:rRNA from 1 species
CCCUUUGUGUACCUACCUCUGUUGCUUUGGCGGGCCGCGGUCCUCCGCGGCCGCCCCCCUCCCCGGGGGGGUGGCCAGCGCCCGCCAGAGGACCAUCAAACUCCAGUCAGUAAACGAUGCAGUCUGAAAAACAUUUAAUAAACUAAAACUUUCAACAACGGAUCUCUUGGUUCUGGCAUCGAUGAAGAACGCAGCGAAAUGCGAUAAGUAAUGUGAAUUGCAGAAUUCAGUGAAUCAUCGAAUCUUUGAACGCACAUUGCGCCCUUUGGUAUUCCGAAGGGCAUGCCUGUUCGAGCGUCAUUACAACCCUCAAGCUCUGCUUGGUAUUGGGCACCGUCCUUUGCGGGCGCGCCUCAAAGACCUCGGCGGUGGCGUCUUGCCUCAAGCGUAGUAGAACAUACAUCUCGCUUCGGAGCGCAGGGCGUCGCCCGCCGGACGAACCUUCUGAACUUUUCUCAAGGUUGACCUCGGAUCAGGUAGGGAUACCCGCUGAACUUAAGCAUAUCAAUA